rnacentral:rRNA from 1 species
UACGAAGGGGGCUAGCGUUGCUCGGAAUUACUGGGCGUAAAGGGCGCGUAGGCGGAUAGUUUAGUCAGAGGUGAAAGCCCAGGGCUCAACCUUGGAACUGCCUUUGAUACUGGCUAUCUUGAGUUCGGGAGAGGUGAGUGGAAUGCCGAGUGUAGAGGUGAAAUUCGCAGAUAUCAGGAAGAACACCAAUGGCGAAGGCAGCUCUCUGGGACGGUACUGACGCUGAGACGCGAAAGCGUGGGGAGCGAACAGG